CCUAUCUGGUUGAUCCUGCCAGUAGUCAUAUGCUUGUCUCAAAGAUUAAGCCAUGCAUGUCUAAGUCCAAGCUGUGUUUACACGGCGAGACCGCGGACGGCUCAUUAAAACAGUCGUGGUCCACAUGGGCCAGUCCUUGCUUACUUGGAUAACUGUGGUAAUUCCAGAGCUAAUACAUGCAACAAUGCUCCGACGGAGGCCCUGUUCGGUGCCUGUCACCGCUCAGGGAUCAACCUUUCUGACGGGUGCUUUUAUUAGACCAAGCUACUGAGGGUCUCGGUUUCGUGCGUUAAGCGUUCGCUCGUCCGCGGGUGUUCGUGUGCGAUUCCAUCAGAGACUUUGCUCGCAGUGUGGUGACUCUGGAUAACCAUCAUGACAAGCGCACGUACUCCAUUUAUGUGGGACGGCGCUGCCACUUUCGAGUGUCUGACCUAUCAGCUGUCAAUCGCUCGUUACACGCGACCGAUGGCUUUGACGGGUAACGGGGAAUCAGGGUUCGAUUCCGGAGAGGCAGCCUGAGAGACGGCUACCACGUCCAAGGACGGCAGCAGGCACGCAAAUUACCCAAUCCCAGCUCCUGGGGGAGGUAGUGACGAAAUCUAACGAUGCGGGCGCCCUACACGGGCCCCGCAAUCGGAAUGAGCACUUUCUAAACAACCUGUUGAGAACCUACUGAAGGGCAAGUCUGGUGCCAGCAGCCGCGGUAAUUCCAGCUUCAGUAGCAUCUAUUAAAGUUGCUGCGGUUAAAAGGCUCGCAGUUGAAUUUCAGUGCCGGGUGUCGAUAGGUGGACGUUGGAGAGCGAGAUCAAAGGUUUCAAAGGCGGUUGCACCUAGCGUGUGGCGUCGAACGUGGCCUCUCGCACACUCCCGUCCGUAACAAGCCUUCGCACCCGAGUACACAGUGGCGGUCUUUUCGGUCUUGGGAAGGGCUUUAGGGCUCGACUACUCGACUCGGGCCGCCGGUGUCACCCUGAGUAAAUCAGAGUGCUCAAAGCAGUCGUGAGGGACGCCUCGUGCGUCCCGUGAAAAAGUCUUGACGGAUCGUCUUGGUUUUGCAUGGCAUGUUGGAAGAUGAUGUCGAGCGCUGGCCAGGAGCAGUAUCACUCGGUGGUGUCGGCCAGCCUCGACGUAAUGAUUAAAAGGGCUUGUCGAGGGCAUUGGUAUUGCGGAGCGAGAGGUGAAAUUCUAUGACCUUCGCAAGACCGCCCGAAGCGAAAGCGUCUGCCAAGGAUGUUUUCAUUAAUCAUGAACGAAAGUUAGAGGAUCGAAGGCGAUCAGAUACCGCCCUAGUUCUAACCCUAAACGAUGCCAACCAUCAAUCCGCCUGAGCUCUCUCUUGUCGGGCUCGGCGGGCAGCUACUCACUCACGGGAAACCAGAGUCUCUGGGUUCCGGGGGGAGUCUGGUUGCAAAGCUGAAACUUAAAGGAAUUGACGGAAAGGCACCACCAGGCGUGGAGCCUGCGGCUUAAUUUGACUCAACACGGGCCAUCUCACCAGGCCAGCACUCUAGCAUGAUUGACAGAUUGAGAGCUCUUUCUCGAUUCAGUGGAUGGUGGUGCAUGGCCGUUCUUAGUUGGUGGAGUGAUCUGUCUGGUUAAUUCCGAUAACGAACGAGACUCUCCCCUGCUAACUAGUCGGUUGGAUCUUGAACUGUGAGUGGUACAGCCCCGCGGGUGUCGCCUUCCGUGUUCCUCUUCGUGUGCGCUAGUGUGUGUGCGUGUUGGAUUCGCCUUCGGGUGUCUUCGAUGCGUUGCGUGCGUUGGUGUGCUGUCGAGUGCGCGCGUUGGGUUGUAUGCCUCGGGUAGCACGCUCCUAGUCCGCCGCCUUUACAAUUCUUCUUAGAGGGAUCCACGGCUCUGAAGCCGUCAGAGACUGAGAGCAAUAACAGGUCUGUGAUGCCCUUAGAUGCUCUGGGCCGCACGCGCGCUACAAUGCUGGGCACAGCAGGUGUCUGUCCUGCUCCGAGAGGAGUGGGUAACCUCUGAAAGCCCUUCUGCUUUGUUGGCUUGUUUCGCUGUACGUUGGAGUUCUGCUCCGCGUGCAUAUGUGAUCGAGCCUAGCGUGCUUGGGCCUGGGGCUUGCAAUUCUUCCCCACAAACGAGGAAUGCCUAGUAGCGGUGGGUCACUGAGCCCACCGUGACUCAGUCCCUGCCCUUUGUACACACCGCCCGUCGCUACUACCGAUUGGGUGUACCAGUGAGAGCCUUGGACAGGCGGCCGCUGCCUCUCUUCGGGGAAGCAUGCGGCGUGACUGGAAGAGGUCCGAACUGGUGCACUUAGAGGAAGUAAAAGUCGUAACAAGGUUUCCGUAGGUGAACCUGCGGAAGGAUCAUUA
rnacentral:rRNA from 1 species